CGUUCCCGGGUCUUGUACACACCGCCCGUCACACCACGAAAAGUCGGCAACACCCGAAAGCCGGUGGCCUAACCCGCAAGGGAGGGAGCCGUCGAAGGUGGGGCUGGCGAUUGGGGUG
rnacentral:rRNA from 1 species